rnacentral:rRNA from 1 species
CGCAAGGAAGUAAGAUCCCUGAAAGAUGAUCAGGUUGAUAGGUCUGAGGUGGAAGUGUGGCGACACAUGGAGCUGACAGAUACUAAUCGAUCGAGGACUUAACCAAA